rnacentral:rRNA from 1 species
AUUGAACGCUGGCGGCAUGCCUAACACAUGCAAGUCGAGCGGAUGAAGGGAGCUUGCUCCUGGAUUCAGCGGCGGACGGGUGAGUAAUGCCUACGAAUCUGCCUGGUAGUUGGGGAUAACGUCCGUAAACGGGCGCUAAUACCGCAUACGUCCUGAUGGUGAAAGUGGGGGAUCUUCGGACCUCACGCUAUCAGAUGAGCCUAGGUCGGAUUAGCUAGUUGGUGGGGUAAAGGCCUACCAAGGCGACGAUCCGUAACUGGUCUGAGAGGCUGAUCAGUCACACUGGAACUGAGACACGGUCCAGACUCCUACGGGAGGCAGCAGUGGGGAAUAUUGGGCAAUGGGCGAAAGCCUGAUCGAGCCAUGCCGCGUGAGUGAAGAAGGUCUUCGGAUUGUAAAGCACUUUAAGUUGGGAGGAAGGGCAGUAAGUUAAUACCUUGCUGUCUUGACGGUACCAAAAGAAUAAGCAACGGCUAACUUCGUG